GGCUCGUUGGUCUAGGGGUAUGAUUCUCGCUUCGGGUGUGAGAGCUCCCGGGUUCAAAUCCCGGACGAGCCC
rnacentral:tRNA from 2 species